AUGGACUUAGCUUAAUUAGAAUAGCAACUAAUUUCCGAAGUUAGUAGACGUAGGUGCAAUUCCUACAGUCCAUGCCA
rnacentral:tRNA from 1 species